rnacentral:rRNA from 1 species
UACGUAGGGGGCAAGCGUUGUCCGGAAUCAUUGGGCGUAAAGAGCGUGUAGGCGGCCCGAUAAGUCCGCCGUGAAAGUCCAGGGCUCAACCCUGGAAUGCCGGUGGAAACUGUCGGGCUGGAGUCCGGAAGAGGCGAGUGGAACUCCUGGUGUAGCGGUGGAAUGCGCAGAUAUCAGGAAGAACACCAACGGCGAAGGCAGCUCGCUAGGACGGUACUGACGCUGAGACGCGAAAGCGUGGGGAGCGAACAGG